AGGAAUAUUGGUCAAUGGACGAGAGUCUGAACCAGCCAAGUAGCGUGAAGGAUGACUGCCCUAUGGGUUGUAAACUUCUUUUAUACGGGAAUAAAGUGAGGCACGUGUGCCUUUUUGUAUGUACCGUAUGAAUAAGGAUCGGCUAACUCCGUGCCAGCAGCCGCGGUAAUACGGAGGAUCCGAGCGUUAUCCGGAUUUAUUGGGUUUAAAGGGAGCGUAGAUGGAUAUUUAAGUCAGUUGUGAAAGUUUGCGGCUCAACCGUAAAAUUGCAGUUGAUACUGGAUAUCUUGAGUACAGUAGAGGCAGGCGGAAUUCGUGGUGUAGCGGUGAAAUGCUUAGAUAUCACGAAGAACUCCGAUUGCGAAGGCAGCUUGCUGGACUGUAACUGACGCUGAUGCUCGAAAGUGUGGGUAUCAAACAGGAUUAGAUACCCUGGUAGUCCACACAGUAAACGAUGAAUACUCGCUGUUUGCGAUAUACAGUAAGCGGCCAAGCGAAAGCGUUAAGUAUUCCACCUGGGGAGUACGCCGGCAACGGUGAAACUCAAAGGAAUUGACGGGGGCCCGCACAAGCGGAGGAACAUGUGGUUUAAUUCGAUGAUACGCGAGGAACCUUACCCGGGCUUGAAUUGCAACUGAAUGAUGUGGAGACAUGUCAGCCGCAAGGCAGUUGUGAAGGUGCUGCAUGGUUGUCGUCAGCUCGUGCCGUGAGGUGUCGGCUUAAGUGCCAUAACGAGCGCAACCCUUAUCGAUAGUUACCAUCAGGUUAUGCUGGGGACUCUGUCGAGACUGCCGUCGUAAGAUGUGAGGAAGGUGGGGAUGACGUCAAAUCAGCACGGCCCUUACGUCCGGGGCUACACACGUGUUACAAUGGGGGGUACAGAAGGCAGCUACACGGCGACGUGAUGCUAAUCCCGAAAGCCUCUCUCAGUUCGGAUUGGAGUCUGCAACCCGACUCCAUGAAGCUGGAUUCGCUAGUAAUCGCGCAUCAGCCACGGCGCGGUGAAUACGUUCCCG
rnacentral:rRNA from 1 species